CCUACGGGGCGCAGCAGUGGGGAAUAUUGCACAAUGGGCGCAAGCCUGAUGCAGCGACGCCGCGUGCGGGAUGGAGGCCUUCGGGUUGUAAACCGCUUUUGUUCAAGGGCAAGGCACGGUCUUUGGCCGUGUUGAGUGGAUUGUUCGACUAAGCACCGGCUAACUACGUGCCAGCAGCCGCGGUGAUACGUAGGGUGCAAGCGUUAUCCGGAUUUAUUGGGCGUAAAGGGAUCGUAGGCGGUUCGUCGAGUCCGGUGUGAAAGUCCAACGCUUACGGGUGGAUCCGCGGCAGGUAC
rnacentral:rRNA from 1 species